rnacentral:tRNA from 1 species
GGGUCAUUAGCUUAGUCAGGUAGAGCGACGGGCUCUUAACCCGUAGGCCGCAGGUUCGAACCCUGCAUGACCCG